rnacentral:rRNA from 1 species
UUAGAGUUUGAUUCUGGCUCAGGAUGAACGCUAGCGGCAGGCUUAACACAUGCAAGUCGAGGGGCAGCGAGAUCAGUGCUUGCACUGAUUGUCGGCGACCGGCGCACGGGUGCGUAACGCGUAUGCAACCUACCCAUUACAGGGGGAUAACUCUGAGAAAUCGGUACUAAUACCCCAUAACAUCCAGGGAGGCAUCUUCUUGGGUUGAAAACUCCGGUGGUAAUGGAUGGGCAUGCGUUGUAUUAGUUAGUUGGUGGGGUAACGGCUCACCAAGACAACGAUACAUAGGGGGACUGAGAGGUUAACCCCCCACAUUGGUACUGAGACACGGACCAAACUCCUACGGGAGGCAGCAGUGAGGAAUAUUGGUCAAUGGACGCAAGUCUGAACCAGCCAUGCCGCGUGCAGGAAGACGGCUCUAUGAGUUGUAAACUGCUUUUGUACGAGGGUAAACGCAGAUACGCGUAUCUGUCUGAAAGUAUCGUACGAAUAAGGAUCGGCUAACUCCGUGCCAGCAGCCGCGGUAAUACGGAGGAUUCAAGCGUUAUCCGGAUUUAUUGGGUUUAAAGGGUGCGUAGGCGGUCGGAUAAGUUAGAGGUGAAAUCCCGGGGCUCAACUUCGGAAUUGCCUCUGAUACUGUUCGGCUAGAGAGUAGUUGCGGUAGGCGGAAUGUAUGGUGUAGCGGUGAAAUGCUUAGAGAUCAUACAGAACACCGAUUGCGAAGGCAGCUUACCAAGCUACUUCUGACGUUGAGGCACGAAAGCGUGGGGAGCAAACAGGAUUAGAUACCCUGGUAGUCCACGCAGUAAACGAUGAUAACUCGUUGUCGGCGAUGCAGUGUCGGUGACUAAGCGAAAGCGAUAAGUUAUCCACCUGGGGAGUACGUUCGCAAGAAUGAAACUCAAAGGAAUUGACGGGGGCCCGCACAAGCGGAGGAACAUGUGGUUUAAUUCGAUGAUACGCGAGGAACCUUACCCGGGCUUGAAAGUUAGUGACGGAUCUUGAAAGAGGUCUUCCCUUCGGGGCACGAAACUAGGUGCUGCAUGGUUGUCGUCAGCUCGUGCCGUGAGGUGUCGGGUUAAGUCCCAUAACGAGCGCAACCCCUACCGUUAGUUGCCAGCAGGUCAAGCUGGGCACUCUGACGGGACUGCCGGUGUAAGCCGAGAGGAAGGUGGGGAUGACGUCAAAUCAGCACGGCCCUUACGUCCGGGGCUACACACGUGUUACAAUGGCAGGUACAGAGGGCAGCUACCCAGCGAUGGGAUGCGAAUCUCGAAAGCCUGUCUCAGUUCGGAUUGGAGGCUGAAACCCGCCUCCAUGAAGUUGGAUUCGCUAGUAAUCGCGCAUCAGCCAUGGCGCGGUGAAAACGUUCCCGGGCCUUGCACACACCGCCCGUCA